UACGAAGGGGGCUAGCGUUGCUCGGAAUCACUGGGCGUAAAGCGCACGUAGGCGGGUUCUUAAGUCAGGGGUGAAAUCCUGGAGCUCAACUCCAGAACUGCCUUUGAUACUGGGAAUCUCGAGUCCGGGAGAGGUGAGUGGAACUGCGAGUGUAGAGGUGAAAUUCGUAGAUAUUCGCAAGAACACCAGUGGCGAAGGCGGCUCACUGGCCCGGUACUGACGCUGAGGUGCGAAAGCGUGGGGAGCAACAGGG
rnacentral:rRNA from 1 species